rnacentral:rRNA from 1 species
CCUACGGGUGGCAGCAGUGAGGAAUAUUGGUCAAUGGGCGCGAGCCUGAACCAGCCAAGUCGCGUGAGGGAUGACUGCCCUACGGGUUGUAAACUUCUUUUAUCAAGGAAUAAAACGAGGCACGUGUGCCUUUUUGCAUGUACUUUAUGAAUAAGGAUCGGCUAACUCCGUGCCAGCAGCCGCGGUAAUACGGAGGAUCCGAGCGUUAUCCGGAUUUAUUGGGUUUAAAGGGAGCGUAGAUGGGUAGUUAAGUCAGUUGUGAAAGUUUGCGGGUCAACCGUAAAAUUGCAAUUGAUACUGGCAGUCUUGAGUACAGUUGAGGUAGGCGGAAUUCGUGGUGUAGCGGUGAAAUGCUUAGAUAUCACGAAGAACCCCGAUUGCUAAGGCAGCUUACUAGCCUGUAACUGACGUUGAUGCUCGAAAGUGUGGGUAUCAAACAGGAUUAGAUACCCUUGUAGUC